GCGAAUUCGGCAAGUUGCACCGGUGUGCACCGGGGCGCCCCAAUGCGCCGUUUCAUCCAAUCAUGGUCGCACCAGGGCGCCCCGCUGUGCCCUGGUGAAAUUUGCUG
rnacentral:lncRNA from 1 species